AUCCUUUUGGAACUCAAUUUUUAAAAAGCAGAUGAAGCGGAUAAUUUUAGGAAACUAGUAAAUGAUCAAAAAUAUAUUCUAGAAGAAAUAGAAGACAAUGUGAUGAGGUAGGUCCUGCUGUCAUCCCCACUCUGAUGACACAGAGAGGGUAGGUACCUUGCAUUCAUGCUUUCAACAAGUAGUUAUCAAGCAUUUACUAAGUGUCAGACGCUGGCAAAACACACCAUGGGCAGGUUCCAGUUUCAUCGGCUGUUUCUGUAGCUUUACCCAGACAAGAAACCAUGGAAGAUUUUCACUGGAUAAAUCCUGUCUUUGCAGAAGCUGAGACAGGGAAAUGAACAGAGCCUGUCCACUUUUGUACUCUCAACCUCCAGGAGUCUCCAGCAGGUGGCUUCUUGUGAUCAAUCACCAGUUUCCUCCUCCAAACAGUCUGGCGAGGUGUCUGUUGGGACACCAAAUUAAUUCCAUCAUAAAAUGCUAAAAACCUUCUUGGAGCAGAGUCAAGAUCACACUGAUGGGCGCAGUUGCAGGACACAAAGGGUCGUGGAUGCUGUCCUGUGCUGCCCAGCAUCCCCUGCAGGACUGAAGGGUUGAUUCCUGCCCCUCCACCCCACCUCUGCUUUUAGCUGAGCUCCUUGCCCAGGCUCACACCUUCCCAGGGCAGCUACCAUUCAGUGGCUGGUCACCAUAGGGUGAAAACCUGCCUCCCUCCAUCCAAUUCAGGCAACUCUGGAGAGCAAUCCCAGCUCUGGGAGCAAUCCCUCCAGGAGCUCUGGAGCGGGGAGGGGGUCCACUGAGGUCUUUUUGUGGCUGUGCUGCCACCUGAGCACCUCCCUCGACCUGGUGCUGCUUCCCCUCCCUCCCCUCACAGGUGUGGGGUCCAAGGGUACAUCCCAGUAAACUCCCUGUGACUCAACAGUGUCUCCCAGAGAACCCUCCCCAACUUGCAGCAGCUAGUGCCAGGGAUGGUCUGAAAGAGCAGAUGCUAAGAUAGGAUUUGGGGGCUGGAUGACUCUGCUGUCCAGGUAAUCAUGAGGGUCCCAUCCUCAGUAGAGGAGGAGUAGCCUUCCAUUCUUCACCUGAGUAAAUGAAAUGGUUGGGCACCCAUAUGAUCUGCCUGUGUAUCUCUUGGUAUUCCUUUGCCCUACUUUGACAGUAAAUGGACAAAGAAGCCACAGGCUGAGAAAAUACAUGACAACUAGUGGCUCAAACUCCU
rnacentral:lncRNA from 1 species